CUGAUGAUACUUGUAAUAGGAAGUGCCGUCAGAAGCGAUAACUGACGA
rnacentral:snoRNA from 1 species